rnacentral:rRNA from 1 species
ACGUAGGUGGCAAGCGUUGUCCGGAAUUAUUGGGCGUAAAGAGCAUGUAGGCGGUUUUUUAAGUCUGGAGUGAAAAUGCGGGGCUCAACCCCGUAUGGCUCUGGAUACUGGAAGACUUGAGUGCAGGAGAGGAAAGGGGAAUUCCCAGUGUAGCGGUGAAAUGCGUAGAUAUUGGGAGGAACACCAGUGGCGAAGGCGCCUUUCUGGACUGUGUCUGACGCUGAGAUGCGAAAGCCAGGGUAGCGAACGG